rnacentral:rRNA from 1 species
GGCNAACGGGUGAGUAAUGCACCGGAACGUAUCCAAUAAUGGGGGAUAACGCACCGAAAAGUGUGCUAAUACCGCAUACGCCCUGAGGGGGAAAGCGGGGGAUCGUAAGACCUCGCGUUAAUGGAGCGGCCGAUGCCGGAUUAGCUAGUUGGUGAGGUAAAGGCUCACCAAGGCGACGAUCCGUAGCUGGUCUGAGAGGACGACCAGCCACACUGGAACUGAGACACGGUCCAGACUCCUACGGGAGGCAGCAGUGGGGAAUUUUGGACAAUGGGCGCAAGCCUGAUCCAGCCAUUCCGCGUGAGUGAAGAAGGCCUUCGGGUUGUAAAGCUCUUUCGCAAGGAAAGAAAACUUACCUCCUAAUACGAGGUGAGGAUGACGGUACCUUGAUAAGAAGCACCGGCUAACUACGUGCCAGCAGCCGCGGUAAUACGUAGGGUGCGAGCGUUAAUCGGAAUUACUGGGCGUAAAGCGUGCGCAGGCGGUUUUGUAAGUCAGAUGUGAAAUCCCCGGGCUCAACCUGGG